UUAGUAAACAUGAAAAAUGAUUGUGGGUUGCUUAUGUGAUUCAACAAAGUUAGUUGUGUGUGCGUGGGUGUGUGCUGGACUUUCACAAGCUUCAGCUUUAGCUUGCUUUGUUCCAAUUGGUCAAGUUCGAAUCAUCAAUCGUCAAUCGCUAGUAUGAUAUGGGCUUAAGGACCGAAGAGGAAGGUUUGAAACCAUAGAGAGAGAGGAGAUACAUACUAUCUAUUUAUGAGGUUAGUUUAGCAGUAACUUUUUUAACGCACGUGGUGUAAAAUAAUUAUUCGCGAUGAAUAACACUAAAAUUAAAAAACAUAAGGUCUCUAAAAAGACGAAGAAAUCAUGGAGAAAGCACAUUGAUACUAAGGAUGUAGAACAGUUUCUUGAAGACAAGAGAUUAGAAGAACGAUUAGGGGCUCCUUUGUCAGAGCGAGUAGAUUCUGAGUUAUUUAUCAUUGAUAACACUCCUAAUGAAAUUAAACCUGUUAUAUCCUCCAAACGUGCAACUAGAUUAGCUCUCAAGGAAAAAGAAACAAGAUGUUUUGCUCCUUUGAAACCACAUACACAAGUUCCUGACCCAAUCUCAAAACGAAACCGAGUCAGAACCAAGGAGGAACGUAUGAAUUCAAUAUUACGACAACGUGAAACAGAAAGAAAACUAAAGGGUAUUCUUAAAUUGAAAGAGAGAGAAGUAUUGAAAAAUAGAGCACUUAAAACAGCUGCUGUUAUGAAACGUCCUAAAAGAGGAGAAUUCAAAAAUGAUCUAUGGGAUGUCACAAACAAUCUAUUACCAGAUGCAGUCACAGAAUGGAUGUCCACAGAUAGUGUUAGACAUACAGUCAAACACUUAGGAGUACAGAAAAGGAAAUUGCCUUUAUCAUUACAUAAAAAAACUUCUAUUCUACCAUCAAUAGAAAUACCACAUCCAGGAACAUCCUAUAAUCCAUCAUAUAAUGAUCACCAUGAACUACUAAAUGAUAUUGCCCAGAAAGAAUUGCAACUUAUAAAAGAAGAGGCACAUUUGGACAGGGUCACAACUAAGAUGUUCAAAAAGAUCCCAUUAGAUAAAAAAGACGAGUAUCUAAUGAAAGAAAUGUCAGAAGGUUUACCAAUAGAAAAACAAAUUAUAUUAAAUUCAGAGCCUACUAAAGAAGGCUGUAUUGAGGAAGAUCUGUUGGUAGCAAUAACAAAAGGUAAACCUACAAAGAAUGUAAAGAAAACACUUGUACAGAGGAGAAAGCAACGGGAGCAGAAACAAGCAGCCAAUGAACGCACCUUAACUAAAAUUGAGAAAAAAAAGGUCUCUGAUAUUUAUAAACUAAAAGUUUUAAAAAAGCAGAUAGACGCCAAAGAAAGAAAGGAAGAUCUUUUACGACAAAAACGUAUAAAAAAACGUGCAAGAGAAUCCACCAUGCCAAAAACUCUGAGCAAAACGAAAUUUGUACCUUUGGAUUCUGAUUUCCAACUGUCGGAAGAAUUGUGUGGAAAUCUGAGAAAUUGUAAUUCCAGUAAGAAUUUAUUGCAAGAUCGAUAUAAAUCUCUUCAGCAAAGAAAUAUUAUCGCACCGAGUGUCAUAAAAUUGAAAAAAGAAAAAGCAAAAGUGAAGAAGUUCAUAAAACCGGAUCAUAAAAUAAACUUGGUUAAGAUGUCGCAAUGAGAAAGAUCGUUUAAUGUAUACGUAACGUCACAGAGCAUUUGUCUGUAUUUUUGUAACUGGUCAACUAACUGUUGUUUUUUAUCUUCAACAAUAAUAACAUAUUGCUUACAGCUAUAUUUUCUGACAGCAAUUUGGACAUAGUGUAAGGCAUAUGCUGAGCUACUUCAAGUUGAAAUAUACCAGCUAACUCUAAGAGAUGACUGUAUAAUUCUUCAUUGAGUCUGAAGCAUUAUUGAAAAAUAAUAGCAAUUGAUGAGAAAUGUGUAGCAAAGACAAAUAAAAUUUAUCCGUUUUA